rnacentral:rRNA from 1 species
GUGAGAGGGAGAGCUCAAAUUUGAAAGCUGGUACCUUCGGUAUCCGCGUUGUAACCUCGAGACACGUUUUCCGUGCGGCGCUAUGGACAAGUUCCUUGGAACAGGACAUCGUAGAGGGUGAAAAUCCCGUACUUGCCAUGGAUGUACCGUGCUUUGCGAUACGUGCUCUAAGAGUCGAGUUGUUUGGGAUUGCAGCUCAAAAUGGGUGGUAGACUCCAUCUAAAGCUAAAUAUCGGGGAGAGACCGAUAGCGAACAAGUACCGUGAGGGAAAGAUGAAAAGCACUUUGGAAAGAGAGUUAAAAGUACGUGAAAUUGUCGAAAGGGAAGCGCUUGAAGUCAGCCAUGCCGCUCAGGACUCAGCCUGGCUUUUGCUUGGUGUAUUUCCUGGGUAGCAAGUCAGCAUUGGUUUGGAUCGUCGGAGAAGCAUAGUCGGAAUGUGGCGCCCUCGGGCGUGUUAUAGCCUUCUAUUGGAUACGACGAUCUAGACCAAGGAACGCAGCGCGCCUUAUGG